rnacentral:rRNA from 1 species
UUCGGGAACUGUGAGACAGGUGCUGCAUGGCUGUCGUCAGCUCGUGUUGUGAAAUGUUGGGUUAAGUCCCGCAACGAGCGCAACCCUUAUCCUUUGUUGCCAGCGGUCCGGCCGGGAACUCAAAGGAGACUGCCAGUGAUAAACUGGAGGAAGGUGGGGAUGACGUCAAGUCAUCAUGGCCCUUACGGCCAGGGCUACACACGUGCUACAAUGGCAUAUACAAAGAGAAGCG